AGUUCCUAAUAUCCAACAUCCUUUCUUGUUUCGGUUCACUAUAUCCAUAAAAAAUAAGAUCAUACGUAUGUAGCAAGGCACGGGAGCGAACAUUUCGUUCACUAUAUCCGGGAGUUCACUAUAUACCGUGUUCACUAUAGCGGAGUUAGACUGUAUUUUAAUCACCGUUUGAUAUUUAGUAGCCCCGGUAGCGACUGUUAAUUUAACCCCAGAUCGUUAUCAUGAAAAGGUCACUGUAAUGAGUGAGGGACUGUCUUUAAAAUAUUUAUUUUAAUUCAGAAUGCUACUUGUUCCUGGAGACCCUCUUCAUGUAUUUUAUGGAUGAUCCCAAAAAUUGAACUUUCGAAUCACGUUUUCAUUCAAUAAGAACCUGUUGGGAAGUUAUUGAACAACUUUUAUAUUUCAGAUAGAAAUGAAGAUCAUCUUAUUGAAUAUUAUUCUGAUCCUUCUUGCCGCUACCGGCGUGUAUGCUCCCCUCUGCCUUGCACCUAGAAUUUGUCGACCAGUCAAUCGAUGCUGUUUCCCAAGGGACGGAGAAUGCCCGGCUGGAAAAGUAUGUUGCCAGAUGUGGAGGCUCAAUCAUCAAAUGAAUUGAAUCCAAACGGCAAAUGAAUUUCGAUCACUGUUAAGAAAAUCCAAUAAAAAAAAGGAAGAUUUUAUUUA